rnacentral:rRNA from 1 species
AACGAACGCUGGCGGCAUGCCUAACACAUGCAAGUCGAACGAGACCUCCGGGUCUAGUGGCGCACGGGUGCGUAACGCGUGGGAACCUGCCCGUAGGUUCGGAAUAACUCCCCGAAAGGGGGGCUAAUACCGGGUAAUGUCUUCGGAUAAAAGAUUUAUCGCCUUUGGGGGGGCACGAGUUGGUUUAGCUUGUUGGUAGGGUAAAAGCCUACCACGGCGACGAUCCAUAGCUGGUCUGAGAGGAUGAGCAGCCACACUGGGACGGAGACACGGCCCAGACUCCUACGGGAGGCAGCAGUGGGGAAUAUUGGACAACGGGCGAAAGGCUGAUCCAGCAAUGCCGCGUGAGUGAUGAAGGCCUUAGGGUUGUAAAGCUCUUUUACCCGGGAUGAUAAUGACAGUACCGGGAGAAUAAGCUCCGGCUAACUCCGUG